UAUAUGCUUGUCUCUAGAAAAGAAAAUUUGCAAGUUGCCAUGUGAUUCAUCUGAGAGAGUCUCCAGCAGUGUCAGUCAACUAGCACAAGUGGUAUCACUGUAUCAGAGUGUACGUUAACACGCAGGGGAGACUUUGACCGUGAUUGUGUGCUUGCCUUCAUUUCGAAUUGCUGCUUUUGUCAAUGGUUUCACACCCCUCCUCUGAGAUCUUCUAUGGUUUCCAGGAAAUCAGAUGGUUUGGUGUUGGUGGUAACGUGAAGGAGGAUGAAUCAUCGUAGAUUGGCUGGUUGAAGCCUACACAUUAAAAAAAAUCAACAAGGUGAGAACACCACGAUUCCAACCUUUAUGUAUUAGAGAAAAACAAUUAUUUAGCAUACACAUACGCUCUUGUGCUGGAUGGGGACUUUUAUUUAGGUCAGCUGGAUCAUAUCAUCAUUCAUGUAUUGAGAAGCAUGAGAAAACCAGGAGUUAGUGGUGAAUUUUCUUGAUUCGACAAUGUGCUGGCUUGCAUUCUCAGAGGCUGGUCAGCUGGAGCAUGACAACACUCAUUGUAUUGACUAUUGAAGAGCAUGAGGAGACGAGAGCAGCGGUGCAGCACGGAGCAGUGCUGACACCUCCGCAGGCUGCGCCUUCUGGGGCCGGUCCUCGAGCUCCGCCUAGGAAAUCCAGUUGUUGCAUAGUAUGUAUAGUUCCUGAUGAUUGAUUAUUAUUGAUUGGUUGCAAUGGCUAUUGUGUGGUCGAGGCAUUUGGAGGAGAUAAUUUUUGUUGGGGCUUGCCAGGCGCUUGGGUUGGGUUGCUCAUGUACUCUAAGUAGAUCGUUCCUGACAGUAGCAGUUUGCUGUUGUUUGCUAGUUGAAGUAGGAGUUGCUUUUGUAGUAGCAGUUAUAGAUCUAAGUAACCUUGCUGGCCUUGUUGUGCCCGGCAAAACAAUCUACGAAUAUUAUGAAUGAAUGAAUGGAUGGAUGGUUUCAUGGUGCAUCAAGAUGGAACUGAUUGUUUUAACUUUUUUCUCUCUGUGCCCCUCGUCUUCUCGUUGGAACAUCGUAAUAAAUACUCCCUCUGUCCCAAAAUAUAAGAACGUUUUUAACACUAUACUAGUGUAAAAAAAACGUUCUUAUACUAUGGGACGGAGGCAGUAGUACAGUAUGGUUCUUAUUCACUCAGAGGUACCAAAUCUGAGGUGAUCUUUUCAGGCUGUGGGAAAGAGCUGUUCAGUUAACUGAAUGCUGUCUAGAGCUGUUGUUGCAGGUUUGAUGCAGAUGUUCAGUUCUUGCAGGUGGGAGGUGUUAUCUAGAGCUGUUGUGCUCUUGGCUGCCCGGUGAUGGGGCGUGCAGCAUGGGGACGGGGCACCAGACCAGACCAGAUCUGGUUUGUUUAACUGAAUGCUGCGACGACGCUGCAGUCCCAGGAUCUCGCGAGGCCAGGAGCAAGCUGGCGACGGAUGAACAUCAACAAGCUGACAUUGCCAUGGCCUGAUGGUGCUGGUCCAAGACCGAGGGAGGGAGCGGCCACAGCAGCACGUCGGCGGCUCGUUCUGGCAGCUUUAGUGGUCUUUUUGUGGUCUCGAAAUCUUGGUGUAAUUUCUGUUCUGUUUGAGGUGCUUUCUAUUUUCGAUGAACUUUGAUAAUAGAUCUAGAUCCUUCUUGAGAAAAAAGGAAGUCUGAGGUCUAUAGCUCGCUUGCUGCGAGGAGGAGUGAAUGCUCGCCUACAGCGCUCCUUUAGUGGGCCAGCCCGUGACACUGUUGGUCUUUUUGAAAACAAAAAAGUGUAGCGCAAAGACAUAGCAUUGAUUUUCCUCUAUAACCUUUAGCACUAUUUUACCCCUAGAAAAA
rnacentral:lncRNA from 1 species